AGGAGGAGGAGUAGGGGCCAUCCAGAGAGGCUGAUCCUUUCACUUUCUUUUCAAUCCCCCCCCCUUCUCACACCACUUUGGGUGUCUGCCAGGGAGACCGGGAGAUCCUGGAGCGAACAAGGGCUAGGACUGGCCGAGUCUCAAGAGAUCUGAGGAGAGUGACUCCAAGGCUUGGUCCCUAAGAGCCCUCGGGGGAGUUAGGGAAGGCCAAACCAAGGCAACUGAAGGAAGGGCUGGCUCACUUUGUCCUGAGAACUGCGCCUGGAUGGACAAACCUACUCUGGACGGACAGCGCCUGGUCACGGCCAGCUUGACGGCCCUGGCUGCCUUCUUGGUUGGAGGAUGAGGCAGUGGGGCGUGGAGGUGGGCAGCUACAGAGCUUGCAGGGCCCACAGCAAAAGGAAGGGUAGAGUCCUUGCAUCAGGAAUGGUGACAGCCAAGUGUUAAUCAAAGGUUUCCCAGUGGCAAAGCCAACUCUCCAAGAGGCUGCCUGGGGCCUGAGCUCUCUUGGCCUACUUGCGUUCUGUUUUGACAUCUCACUCAGCUCCUACAGUUCCCUCACUGAUUUCUGUCACGAGGGUGGACGGGAUGCCUUCCUUCCCACUCAAGACCGUGACACUUCUCUGCUUUCUUGUAGGGCAAGUCUUCUCACACUCUUUUUUUCUGGUCAUACCCGCUUGCCCUGCACCUCUGCUUGGUUGCAAAUGUCAUCAGCCUUUUCGGGGCCACACUCACCCUGGCCCCCACACUCUCCUGAGUAUUUCACAGGUCCAUUCACAGGGGCCCUCCAUAUAUGUCAGCCUCUGCACCAGCUUCGAGGACACCAACCAGGAAAGGUUGAGAAGGCCAAUGGACUCAUCAAACCACAGCUCACUAAGCUCGCCAUUGAACUCGGGUUAUCUUGGCCCUCCUUCUCCUCAUUGCCCUUACCCGCCUCCUGGACACCCCGUGCUCUCCUACAGAAACUUGUCUUCUUUGGUUCCUCAAGAAACAGAUGGAUGACAAUGAACUGGAUGCUUCUCCACUCACACCUCCCGCUGAAUGUGAGCUCACCAAUUCCCGACUCCUCUUUCCCACUUCUCCCUGUGCCCGCAGGAAGUAGCCAAACUUGAACUGGCGUCCCUACACCCAAAGAGACUAGAAUGCUUGGGUGGGAGCUCCACCUCAACCCCUGGCACCCUGGCACCCUGGCAUCCCUGUACCCAAAGAGUCUGGAAUGUUUGGAAGGAGUCUGGUGGAAGAUCCACCUCAACUGCCCUCCCCAUCUCUUUCCCUAAACCCGCCCCUUCAAAGCCCACCAAACACAGCUCCUCCCCAAGAGGGGCGCAAGAUCACGCCCACAGGGUAUGUAAGCUACUUCCCCAAAAACAGUCUCAUGGUUCUCCCGGUCUCACGUCCCAGUCUCCUCUCUGAGGGGCCGGGGAAUCACCUGAGCAUGCUUUACCCAUUAAACCUGGGCUUUUCCUCA